GUUAGGAAUCUUGCACAAUGGGGGAAACCCUGAUGCAGCGACGCCGCGUGCGGGACGAAGGCCCUCGGGUCGUAAACCGCUUUCAGCAGGAACGAAAUUGACGGUACCUGCAGAAGAAGCUCCGGCCAACUACGUGCCAGCAGCCGCGGUAAUACGUAGGGAGCGAGCGUUGUCCGGAUUCAUUGGGCGUAAAGAGCUCGUAGGCGGUUCAGUAAGUCGGGUGUGAAAUCUCCGUGCUCAACACGGAGCGGCCACCUGAUACUGCUGUGACUCGAGUCCGGUAGGGGAGUGUGGAAUUCCCGGUGUAGCGGUGAAAUGCGCAGAUAUCGGGAGGAACACCAGUAGCGAAGGCGGCACUCUGGGCCGUGACUGACGCUGAGGAGCGAAAGCGUGGGUAGCAAACAGGAUUAGAUACCCCUGUAGUCC
rnacentral:rRNA from 1 species